rnacentral:rRNA from 1 species
GCGGUGGCGNCNUCCAGUCAAGNUGNAGACGGAACGAUCCUAGCUUGCUGGAGGCGUCGAGCGGCGGACGGGNUGAGUACUGCAUAGGAAUCUACCCGGUAGUGGGGGAACCCCUGGGGAAACUCAGGCUAAUACCGCAUACGUCCUACGGGAGAAAGCGGGGUUUCGGCCUCGCGCUAUCGGAUGAGCCUAUGCCGGAUUAGCUGGUUGGUGAGGUAAUGGCUCACCAAGGCGACGAUCCGUAGCUGGUCUGAGAGGAUGAUCAGCCACAUCGGGACUGAGACACGGCCCGAACUCCUACGGGAGGCAGCAGUGGGGAAUAUUGGACAAUGGGGGCAACCCUGAUCCAGCCAUGCCGCGUGUGUGAAGAAGGCCCUCGGGUUGUAAAGCACUUUCAGCGAGGAAGAACGCCUUUCGGUUAAUACCCGGGAGGAAAGACAUCACUCGCAGAAGAAGCACCGGCUAACUCCGUGCCAGCAGCCGCGGUAAUACGGAGGGUGCAAGCGUUAAUCGGAAUUACUGGGCGUAAAGCGCGCGUAGGUGGCUUGAUAAGCCGGUUGUGAAAGCCCUGGGCUCAACCUAGGAACGGCAUCCGGAACUGUGAAGCUAGAGUGCAGGAGAGGAAGGUAGAAUUCCCGGUGUAGCGGUGAAAUGCGUAGAGAUCGGGAGGAAUACCAGUGGCGAAGGCGGCCUUCUGGACUGACACUGACACUGAGGUGCGAAAGCGUGGG